GUCCACGCCCUAAACGAUGUCAACUGGUUGUUGGGUCUUCACUGACUCAGUAACGAAGCUAACGCGUGAAGUUGACCGCCUGGGGAGUACGGCCGCAAGGUUGAAACUCAAAGGAAUUGACGGGACCCGCACAAGCGGUGGAUGAUGUGGUUUAAUUCGAUGCAACGCGAAACCUUACCCACCUUUGACAUGUACGGAAGUCGCUAGAGAUAGCUUCGUGCUCGAAUGAGAGCCGUAACACAGGUGCUGCAUGGCUGUCGU
rnacentral:rRNA from 1 species